CCAACAAACGGUUGCAUCGC
rnacentral:siRNA from 1 species